rnacentral:lncRNA from 1 species
GGGUCCCUGCCGCGGGCUCUUCCUCUCUUAAGCUCUCUUUCUCCUCCGUGGGAAGAAGGAGAGAGCCAGUGGACGUCUCCCGAGCUUGCCGACCUCCCUUCGUGGGAGAAGAAAGAAGAAGAGAGAAAGGGGGGGGAAGGAGAAGAAGUCGGGAGAAGAGGAGGAGGAGAAAGAAAAAGAAAGAAGAAAGAAAGGGGGAAAGGAGGAAAAGAAGUCAGAGGAAGCUUCGGGAGAAGGAGAAAAGAAAAAGAAAAGGGAAGGGAAGGAAAGAAAAGAAAAGAAAAAGAAAAGAAAAAGAAAAUAAAAGAAAAGAAAAGCAAGAAAAAGAAAAGAAAAUAAAUAAAUAAAUAAAUAAAGGGAGAGGGUGGUUUACGGGUAUGAACCCGAAACCGAACCCGAACCCGAACCCGGGGCGCUAGACACUUCUGCAGGGUCGGCCCUGGGAGAAUGUUAAAAUUUAAGUUUUAUAAAUAUAUAUUGUGAUGAAUUUUAAAAGAAAAUAUGAUUUUUGGAUAUUAGGUUCUGCGAGAAAUUUGUGAGAUUAAUUGGAUUUACUGUGGAUCGCAUUCAAAGUAAGUAAUGAACUGCCUUUUUUUUAGACUAUUCAUUUAUAUAAUAUUAUUUUUGCAUUAAAUAAAUUGUUAAUGAAUUUAUAUGUGAUUUAUGAAUUUACAAAAUGAUGAUUUGAAUGAAAAAUGGAUAUGUGAAUUGGAAUAAUAUUUUUCGGACUAUUGUUAUAUUUACUGUUCUUGCAUCGUAUAUGCAUAUUUAGAUCGGAUUAUGAUAUAUCUAUUUUGUUACAAAAAGAAUUUUGAUGUGCAUUAGAUUUGGAACUCUCAGCCUGACUAUGUUCUGGAUCCUGCCAAUUGGGGGUUAUGCAUUGGUAAUUUCUGGCCCCACCACAGGGUAUAAGUGUGGUAUUCUGGCCCACUUCGCAGGGUAUAAGUGCGGUAUUCUGGCCCACUCUGCAGGGUAUAAGUGCGGUUCUGUUUCUGGCC